CCCCAUCUAUCCCAUCCCCAAUUUUACAUCGAAACCCUAAUCAUUACUCUGCCUCUUUUCUUUCCAUCUUCUCUCUUUGUACCUCUAUCUACACGCCCAUUCUCUCAAUUUUAGACGUUGGUCCGCUCCUCUUGCAGCGACGCACAAUUGACGAACGCGACAUAGUUAUAUACAGUAUGGUUGCACGUAGAUCCACCACCGUUGCCCUUUUUCCACCUACAAACUCAUCGUCGCCCACUGUCCUAUCCCUUCUACUAUUGUCGACAACCCUACAGAUCCAACACUGGUGCAGCAACUCAACAAAUCAAAACACCAGGGCCACGUGAAGCGCGCGAGACGGAGGCGGUGGAUUUUGCGAGAGACAUCAUGAGGGAGGUUAUAGAGAUGGACGUUGUAGAGGUUACUGUCGUCGUGAAGGACGUUAUGGAGACCGUUUUCUUUGAAUUCUGUGUUGAUCCCAAAAAGUGCGCCAACAAAUGUCGGUCCCACCCGGGCUUGGGCGAAUGUCCAACACGCUAAAACACGUGGAUGGUCUAAAACGAGCGCUUCAAAUGGCGUGUGAGUAGCCCAACGACACGGGACGGUGACGUUCGGAAUCCGGCGGAUUGUUCGUAAUCCCAUUGUACAAUAAUUACCAACCGGUGUUCAUAAAUAUAUAUAUAUAUGUAAAUGUGUCUAAAAUCGAUUUGUUUAUUGCAAGUAAAAUGAGAGAGAGUUGAGUAAAUGUAAUUCUUUGUAUUGAUUCUUGUAUUAGUCUUUUGAUAUUACACGAGAGAAGUAUUUAUAGUAAUACAUAUGAAAUGGGAGCCUUUUGAUGAAGUGGCACGUAACCUCAUCUCUUUAGUUCAAACAUCUGUUCCUAGGUAUGGGGCUUGACUUGUUAGCUUGCGGCGCAUUUAUUGAUUGUGCAGGGCCUCCAUACUAGUGACAAGACUUGACCUUUAUGCUUAUGACAAACGUUCCAUCAAUCAUUCGAAUAAGAUCUGUGCAGGCGAUCUCUUGGAAGAAGUGGCCAUGGAGGAUGUUUCCUUGUGGUUCAGAGGCUCUCGCAUCAGUUUCGGGGCUUCGGCCAUUUGUCAUGAUACUUCCACUUGAGGGCCUCAGCUGCUCUCAACAUGUUCCAGCAGCCUGGCUUCGGUUCGUAGGCUUCGGUUCGUAGGCCUCGGACAAAAAAGGAGUCUCGACAGAUGGACUUCGGCUCGAAAUAGUUUGGAUGUAGCCCACCUCGACAGGAAUGCCACGUGGAUCGCCAUGAGUGGGUCAUUAUCCCAGGUAGGUUGGCCAAGUGUGACAACACGCAACAUUCUGCAUUGCAAUUUUACUUUGUUGUGUGGUGGUUUUGUAGUUGUAAAUUGUGGUUGUUGGUAGUAGUGUUGCGAUGGCGGUGGACGAUGAUGAUUUUUGGCCACGUUGCGCACUGUGUAAGCACCUUUUUGCAACUAUUGUUGCGCUAUCUAGGUAAAAGUGUUGAAGCUUCUUGGGUGGUUGGUGGUAGUUUGAAA
rnacentral:lncRNA from 1 species